CCGCUUGAUUUCAGCGGAAAAGAGCGACCUUGCCAAGGUUGGGGUCGAGCGUUCGAAUCGCUUCACCCGCUCCA
rnacentral:tRNA from 1 species